AUUUCUCCUCUCUACGACUUUUUCAUCUUCUUCGUUUCUCUCUGUCUCGAGUCAACAAUCCGACAAACACAAAGCUUUCAAUCUCUUUUCUUCUUUUUUUUUCUCUCUUUUCUCGAUUCCAUCGAUACUCAUUCAUCUUUUUCAUCUUCCCUCUUCACUCGUUUCUAUCGAUCCAAAGAUCCGUCCUCUCCCUUCUUCUUCGUGAGAAAUUCGCAGUGAAAUCGAGAAAUCCGCCGUGAGAAAUCCGCCGUGAGAACUCCGCCGUGUCUUCUCUUUGUAAGAUUUCAUUUGUUUGAUCCCUAAUUUUGUUUUAUUGUGUUGGGUUUAAUUAGGAUUUGAUUUCUUCCAAUUUAUUCUUCUAUGUGAGGGUUUGAUAUGUAAUUCUCUUUGAUUUUGUUUGAAACAAAUGCAUUUUGAAUGGAAUUUCGAUUACAAUUAGGAUUUUUUAUGAUUACAGUUCGGAUUUUAAGAUUACUAAUAGGAUUUGAAUUACAAUUCGGGUUUGAAAUUCGGACGACAUGUAGCUACUUUUUCUUGUUUUUAUUUGGAGAUAUUGAGUGAAAGUUGUAACUUUGUUUGUAAACUCUUCUUAAAAUGAUUGAUUUCUCUUGGUCAAUUUUGGAAGAAAUCUGGUUUCAAGUAAGUUAAUAAGGAGUGGAUUGCAGACAUAGAUGAAAUUUUUUGUACGUAUAUAUUAGCCUAUAACAUUUGUUUCUCUAUUACGAGAGGAGGAAAAGGAAAAGGAGACUGAGACUGAGACUGAGAAGGAGAAGGAGAAAGAGAAGGAUAAGGAGAAGAAGAAGCAGAAGAAGACUUGGUGUGUUCAGAUGUGUUUUGGUUUCUAAUGUUAUGUAUGAAUCUAAGUGUUUAGGUACAACUGGUACACUUAUGUACAACUAUGUAUCUGGGUUUGUAUGAAUCUAAGUUUUUUUGACAGAAAAAUCACCAAAAAACUAUGAGUCAAAGUGUUUUGAUCAAAAAAUUCACAACAACACUAUGAAUCUACUAAGUAU
rnacentral:lncRNA from 1 species